ACGCUGGCGGCAGGCCUAACACAUGCAAGUCGAGCGGUAGAGAGAAGCUUGCUUCUCUUGAGAGCGGCGGACGGGUGAGUAAUGCCUAGGAAUCUGCCUGGUAGUGGGGGAUAACGUUCGGAAACGGACGCUAAUACCGCAUACGUCCUACGGGAGAAAGCAGGGGACCUUCGGGCCUUGCGCUAUCAGAUGAGCCUAGGUCGGAUUAGCUAGUUGGUGGGGUAAUGGCUCACCAAGGCGACGAUCCGUAACUGGUCUGAGAGGAUGAUCAGUCACACUGGAACUGAGACACGGUCCAGACUCCUACGGGAGGCAGCAGUGGGGAAUAUUGGACAAUGGGCGAAAGCCUGAUCCAGCCAUGCCGCGUGUGUGAAGAAGGUCUUCGGAUUGUAAAGCACUUUAAGUUGGGAGGAAGGGUUGUAGAUUAAUACUCUGCAAUUUUGACGUUACCGACAGAAUAAGCACCGGCUAACUCUGUGCCAGCAGCCGCGGUAAUACAGAGGGUGCAAGCGUUAAUCGGAAUUACUGGGCGUAAAGCGCGCGUAGGUGGUUAGUUAAGUUGGAUGUGAAAUCCCCGGGCUCAACCUGGGAACUGCAUUCAAAACUGACUGACUAGAGUAUGGUUGAGGGUGGUGGAAUUUCCUGUGUAGCGGUGAAAUGCGUAGAUAUAGGAAAGAACACCAGUGGCGAAGGCGACCACCUGGACUGAUACUGACACUGAGGUGCGAAAGCGUGGGGAGCAAAC
rnacentral:rRNA from 1 species